CCGCGCGCCGCUGACCGUUGCCCGCCAACGGCUCCGGCAGCGCCGCCGCCGGGAGAGGGGGCGCCGGGCCGCCCUGGGCCCGCGCAGCCUGCGCGGGGCGCCGAUCCCCGAACCGGCCUAGCCCGCGGGCACGGGCUCCCCGCGUCCCCCCGGGGAUGCAACUCCCUCCCGGCCCUGGGACCCCGGCUGGGGGAACCGGCGCGACGGUGCGGGGCUCUCAGCGGUCCCCGCUGCAACUGUGCCCCCUCCUGCCGCCCGGACCCCCGCCCCCCUCGGAUCAGGGGCGGCUGCACCCAGCGCCGCGGAACUGCCGCCGGCGAACCCAGCGCCGGCCGCGGCGCAGCGCCUCCGCCUCGCCUCGCCUCACCUCACGGCGUGGCCGGUGCCCUGCGGAGCCCAGCGCAGCACAAGCCCGGCCUGAGCCCAACCCUCCGGGAAGUUUCCUGCCAUCGCGGCGGCCGGGGAAAACAACAGCUUCAAAGCCAGGAGCCGGAGCAAGAGGAAGGGCAGCGCGAGCAGAAAAGUGAGGGGCAUCGCUCGCCCGCCGCGCCGCUGCCGUCGGCGGCCGACCCCCGCGGAGGGCAGCCCGCUCAGCGCCGCCUCCCCAUUCGCUUCGGCGGCGGCCCCGCCGCACCGGCAGCGCCGCGGAACCGCCGGGCCGAGGAGCAGGCAGGCGAGCCGCCGCCUCCCGCCUGCCGGCAGCCUCCCCGGGCCGCCCGUCCCGCUCGCCGCAGCGCCGCCGAACCCCGCCCGCGCCCCCGCCCGCCCGCGCGGCGGCUCCGCCUCCCGGGGGCGCGCGCAGGCUCCGGCCGAGCGGCUCCUGCGGCCCCCGGCGGCAGCGGGCGCUCCCGGGGGGCGGCCGCGGAGCCCGGCGCCCCGCACCGGCGGCCGGAGGGGCGGCGGAGGGCGGCUCGGCUGCGCUGCGACCCGCCACCCGUUCCUCGGCGCCAAGUGUCGCGCAGGCUGUGCCUGCAGAGUUGGAGACGCCUCGUUAAGAUGCAGGUAGAAGAGAUGCGGAAGGCAGGGCGAGCAAGUGCGAAGGAGCCCCCAGCCUCCCGCCAGGCAGGGACGUCAGCGUGUGUCUCUGAUGUACAUACAUUUCUAACUGAAGCAGGCCUUCCAGACUGCACAUGCAUGCCAUCCACCUACCAGGCAUAUGGAGACUGUGGAACAAAUAGAUGCAAGCAGUUCUGCAAUUGUUUGUUGGCUUUGGGAAACAAAUGGAUGCCUGGUGAACCACCAUCAUCACCUCAAUAUGUUUUGGAAGUCUGUUCAAAACUUCUCUUCUCCGUCCCCCCUGAGAAUGUAAAUUCUCAUAGCUCAAAAUAUUUUAGUCAAUAUUCCUGUUUCAUAUGCUUUGGAUACUCAACAUUAAUUUUCAGUGUAAUUCUGUCCCAGGUGUUUGUGCAGUACAAAAGGUUUUUGUUUCUAAGUACAUGUUUGCUAUGGUAA
rnacentral:lncRNA from 1 species